GUCGUUAUACGUUCGUUUUUUUUUUUUGAGGCGGUUAGGGGCAGCGCUGCGGUAAAGCGCAGAGAAAUGUGAAUAAAAAUAGAUAUAAAGCAGCAGGAUGACAGAUUUGGGAGCAUUUUUUAAUCGUGCAAUUAGUGCAGAGCAGUGCACCGCUACUGUCGUGUUUUUAUUUGCAUUAAAUAGCUGGGUAAUUGUUAUUUUUAUAGGGAAUGAUUAGUCAUUGCGAGCGGUGUGUGCGCGAACAAUAAAUCAAGAGUCCUCUGAUCCGCCAAAAGGGGCAAACAUUUAUUUUUACCCUAAAAAUAAAAACGAUAAAAUAACAAAGAGAGCUAGAGAGGGUUUGUGUUUGACCAAAAAAUAUAAAUAAAAAAAAUAGUUAACAUUUCAAUUGUUUUGGUCAUAAAUUAAGACUAAAUUUGGUUAAAUCAAAUAAUUCGUCCGUGAUGCUCUUCGGUGAAAAAUCCUUUGAUUUUCAUUCCACCAACGACGAUUAAGUAAACAUACAAUUUAUCGUUAUAAAAACAAAUAUAAAAAUGUUUAAGGUAAAACAAGUAACAUUGUGUAAUAAAACAAAAAAUAAAAUAAUUCUAAACAAAAACAAAAGAAUUAUACAAUUAUUAUGUGAAGAAUAAAAUAAAAUGCGAGAAGUAAGAUUUUUCACUUCACUUCAAACGAAUAUUCUUAUUCAUUCAAUGACUUGCGAGGUUCAAAUUAAUUGAAAAUAAUUUAUCAAGCACGUGGAAUUAAUUAAGAUCUAUUUCCACUGAAGGAGCAGUCAUCAUUGGAAGAUUUCCCCGUUUUAGAAUUUCAUUUCUGAUUGUUUCAUUUCUAUUGACAGUCUCUUGUGAUGGUUUCAAACGGAAAGGAUCAUUCGAAUGAACUGAUGAACUCCAAGAAUCAGACUUCUCUUCAGAAAUUGAAUCAUUAUUAUUAUUAUUAUUUAAAGUUGACGUAGAUACACUAGGACUAAAACGAGAUGACGAACUGAUUCUGAAUUUGUUGGUGUUUUCUGUGAUGAAUGCAAAGAGGACCAAGGACUAAAGCACACACGACUGUUAUCGAUGGUAGCAUCAGUUUCGCUGAAUUCUUUAGACGAUUGUUGGUGAAACUAAAGAAAAUGAAAAACAUCAAAAAUUCAAUGGCUGAUCGGCACCAGGAAAAUACUCGCAGAGUAAAGUCAUGAUUUCUACAACGUGCUGCAUAGAUGGACGGUCUGAUGGUUCACGACUCCAACAAGAUGUGUAGAGUUCUUCGAUUGGCUUGGGGCAGCCUUCUAUUAUUGGUGGACGGUUGCCUUAAUUAAACGAUGGACGUUCAAACAUUCGAAUACAGGUUUUGAAAUAAAACGGAAUUGAACAUCUUAUAAACGGUUUGAAAAAAGUUGUAUUAUUUUUUUAAUUUCCUAAAUAAAUGUACCUACAAGUAAACUUUAAAAAUGACUUAUUAAUAAAAUAGUUGAGAUCGUCUUGAGCUUAAAUUUUAGGCAAUUAAAUUUG